rnacentral:lncRNA from 1 species
UUAGGGUCUGUUCAUGGAGGGAACGCCGAUGGCACCAGCGACGCGAACGGGCUCGCGUACGCCGGAGCCGGGUAGCCGCUGCUGCUUCCGCCGCCGUGGGAGUGGGACUCGUUCUUCGGGGGUUUGUUGUAGGGGGCAGACGGUUGGGCGAAGGGGAGGCGGAGUAAGGCUGAGCGGGCGGCGGCGCGCCGUAGCUGUAGCUGGGAGGCUGGUGGAGAUAGCCGGACAUGAUGAAAUUUGAAAGGGGGUUUUGAGUUCUGAAAGGUUACAGAUUUGAUUGCUGCUAAUUGCUGAAG